UUUUGUGAGUGUGAUUUUGUGUGGUAAAUGUAAACUCAGCUGUCAUAACAAGCAGCAGGAGAGCACCUUGUUAAUCUCUUGGUAUACUGCAUGCUCAACACAUCAUAGCAUUGUUAAUUAAGGCUGCUCACAUAGCAUUUAUCUUUUUAUUUACAGGCCAAAGAAAAGGACCCUCUCAAUCAUUUUCCAAACAGCACUUUGAACAGGUAACAAAGAUGUCUCGUAAAAGACCUUUGCCAGGCCGAGGACAAAAGCAAAAUGUAUUAUAUUAUUUAAAGAACCAGCCACUGUCAGAACAGCCAGAACAAUUUAUAGAAACAACAGGGCAACAGACAGAGGAGCAACACACAGGACAGAGAGAGAUAUGGAGAGAUAUGGACACCUUCUGGGCUGGAAUGGCAACAAGGAAACAUAAGGUGACAGGAGCCAAAGAAUUUCAGAGGCUUGCUGCCGUCGCCAAGCUGG